GAUGAACGCUAGCUACAGGCUUAACACAUGCAAGUCGAGGGGCAGCAUUUUAGUUUGCUUGCAAACUGAAGAUGGCGACCGGCGCACGGGUGAGUAACACGUAUCCAACCUGCCGAUAACUCCGGAAUAGCCUUUCGAAAGAAAGAUUAAUACCGGAUGGCAUACGAAUAUCGCAUGAUAUUUUUAUUAAAGAAUUUCGGUUAUCGAUGGGGAUGCGUUCCAUUAGUUUGUUGGCGGGGUAACGGCCCACCAAGACUACGAUGGAUAGGGGUUCUGAGAGGAAGGUCCCCCACAUUGGAACUGAGACACGGUCCAAACUCCUACGGGAGGCAGCAGUGAGGAAUAUUGGUCAAUGGGCGAGAGCCUGAACCAGCCAAGUAGCGUGAAGGAUGAAGGCUCUAUGGGUCGUAAACUUCUUUUAUAUGGGAAUAAAGUUUUCCACGUGUGGAAUUUUGUAUGUACCAUAUGAAUAAGGAUCGGCUAACUCCGUGCCAGCAGCCGCGGUAAUACGGAGGAUCCGAGCGUUAUCCGGAUUUAUUGGGUUUAAAGGGAGCGUAGGUGGAUUGCUAAGUCAGUUGUGAAAGUUUGCGGCUCAACCGUAAAAUUGCAGUUGAAACUGGCAGUCUUGAGUACAGUAGAGGUGGGCGGAAUUCGUGGUGUAGCGGUGAAAUGCUUAGAUAUCACGAAGAACUCCGAUUGCGAAGGCAGCUCACUAGACUGUCACUGACACUGAUGCUCGAAAGUGUGGGUAUCAAACAGGAUUAGAUACCCUGGUAGUCCACACAGUAAACGAUGAAUACUCGCUGUUUGCGAUAUACAGUAAGCGGCCAAGCGAAAGCAUUAAGUAUUCCACCUGGGGAGUACGCCGGCAACGGUGAAACUCAAAAGGAAUUGACGGGGGCCCGCACAAGCGGAGGAACAUGUGGUUUAAUUCGAUGAUACGCGAGGAACCUUACCCGGGCUUAAAUUGCAACAGAAUAUAUUGGAAACAGUAUAGCCGUAAGGCUGUUGUGAAGGUGCUGCAUGGUUGUCGUCAGCUCGUGCCGUGAGGUGUCGGCUUAAGUGCCAUAACGAGCGCAACCCUUAUCUUUAGUUACUAACAGGUUAUGCUGAGGACUCUAGAGAGACUGCCGUCGUAAGAUGUGAGGAAGGUGGGGAUGACGUCAAAUCAGCACGGCCCUUACGUCCGGGGCUACACACGUGUUACGAUGGGGGGUACAGAAGGCGGCUACCUGGUGACAGGAUGCUAAUCCCGAAAAACCUCUCUCGGUUCGGAAUCGAAAGUCUACAACCCCGGACUUCGUGAAGGCUGGGAUUUCGCUAGUGAAUCGCGCGUUCGGCCGUGGCGCGGUGAAGACGUUUCCCGGGCCU
rnacentral:rRNA from 1 species